rnacentral:rRNA from 1 species
CAGCCGCCACGGGAAAACGGAGGGGGCUAGCGUUGUUCGGAAUUACUGGGCGUAAAGCGCACGUAGGCGGCUUUGUAAGUCAGAGGUGAAAGCCUGGAGCUCAACUCCAGAAUUGCCUUUGAGACUGCAUCGCUUGAACGUCGGAGAGGUGAGUGGAAUUCCGAGUGUAGAGGUGAAAUUCGUAGAUAUUCGGAAGAACACCAGUGGCGAAGGCGGCUCACUGGACGACUGUUGACGCUGAGGUGCGAAAGCGUGGGGAGCAAACAGGAUUAGAUACCCCAGUAGUCCCUGUCUCUUAUAC